CCAAAUCUAUGGCCGAAAGGCCUUGCCCUAGGUGGGGAAACCCACCGACGGUAAACCCUUUGUGAAAACCUUUCGUUUGCCUCGGCGGCACCCUUUCGUUAGGGAUCAGCCCGCCGACGGCACCCAACCAAAACUCUUUUUUUAAGAAUUGAAGCUAGUCUGAAUCAAUGGUCGAAUGACUAUA
rnacentral:misc_RNA from 1 species